GGUCUCCGAGGAGGUCGGGGUUGCCCACCGUUUGACUGCAACGGUGCGAAGCUCCGUACUUACACGCGGGCU
rfam:Cucumber necrosis virus defective interfering RNA isolate C66.